UACGGGGGGAGCAAGCGUUGUUCGGAUUUACUGGGCGUAAAGGGCUCGUAGGCGGCCAACUAAGUCAGACGUGAAAUCCCCAGGCUCAACCUGGGAACUGCGUCUGAUACUGGAUGGCUUGAAUCCGGGAGAGGGAUGCAGAAUUCCAGGUGUAGCGGUGAAAUGCGUAGAUAUCUGGAGGAAUACCGGUGGCGAAGGCGGCAUCCUGGACCGGCAUUGACGCUGAGGAGCGAAAGCCAGGGGAGCAAAGCGGG
rnacentral:rRNA from 1 species